rnacentral:rRNA from 1 species
CGGCUUCGGCCGGGGAUUAGUGGCGAACGGGUGAGUAACACGUGGGCAAUCUGCCCUUCACUCUGGGACAAGCCCUGGAAACGGGGUCUAAUACCGGAUAUGACGCGCGACCGCAUGGUCUGUGCGUGGAAAGCUCCGGCGGUGAAGGAUGAGCCCGCGGCCUAUCAGCUUGUUGGUGGGGUAAUGGCCUACCAAGGCGACGACGGGUAGCCGGCCUGAGAGGGCGACCGGCCACACUGGGACUGAGACACGGCCCAGACUCCUACGGGAGGCAGCAGUGGGGAAUAUUGCACAAUGGGCGAAAGCCUGAUGCAGCGACGCCGCGUGAGGGAUGACGGCCUUCGGGUUGUAAACCUCUUUCAGCAGGGAAGAAGCGAGAGUGACGGUACCUGCAGAAGAAGCGCCGGCUAACUACGUGCCAGCAGCCGCGGUAAUACGUAGGGCGCAAGCGUUGUCCGGAAUUAUUGGGCGUAAAGAGCUCGUAGGCGGCUUGUCACGUCGGAUGUGAAAGCCCGGGGCUUAACCCCGGGUCUGCAUUCGAUACGGGCAGGCUAGAGUUCGGUAGGGGAGAUCGGAAUUCCUGGUGUAGCGGUGAAAUGCGCAGAUAUCAGGAGGAACACCGGUGGCGAAGGCGGAUCUCUGGGCCGAUACUGACGCUGAGGAGCGAAAGCGUGGGGAGCGAACAGGAUUAGAUACCCUGGUAGUCCACGCCGUAAACGUUGGGAACUA